UGGGGAGUAUUGCACAGUGGGGGAAACCCGUGAUGCAGCGACGCCGCGUGAGGGAAGACGGUCCUCUGGAUUGUAAACCUCUGUCUUCGGGGACGAAACGAGACGGUACCCGAGGAGGAAGCCACGGCUAACUACGUGCCAGCAGCCGCGGUAAUACGUAGGUGGCAAGCGUUGUCCGGAAUUACUGGGUGUAAAGGGAGCGUAGGCGGGCAGGCAAGUCAGGCGUGAAAUAUAUCGGCUCAACCGGUAUCUGCGCUUGAAACUGCAGGUCUUGGAGU
rnacentral:rRNA from 1 species